AACAACUAGGGGUUAAGUGUCUUGUUCAGGGUCACACUGGUGGAUGUGUCACAGUGGGGAAUUGAACCCAGGUCUCUCGCACCGAUGGCAUGCGUUUUAUCCACUGCACCAUCACCACCCCCGUGAAUAGAAAGGGGCUAUAGGGAGCAGAACAACUCUACAAGAAGUUGGCAGACUCUGGCAGACAGCCCUGACAUAUUAGCAACCACCAAGUUUGAAAAUGACCGAAUGUCACUUCAAGCCAGGCAGCUGGGUCGCAUAGCUGUCAGGUCAGGUCUGUUGGGCCUGUUCAUGCUCUGUCUGCACAGCUGUUUUAUUAGACUGACUGAACUGACUGGACCAGGAUCCCUGUAAUGCUGAACUCAUUAUGUUUAAUUGUGUUGGAUUUGAACAAUGUGCAAUCAGUUGUGUUGAAGUCAGGAAUUUCAGACUUCAGCUUGUUCAGUGUUUUGCUUUUCUUUUGUUGAAAGAGAGGUUGAAAUGAAAGUACAUAGUAGCCUACUAUACUUACCAGUAAGUACAGUGUUGGGGUUCUGGUACGUAACAUUUUAAAAGAGACUUUCUUUCCCUUCACUUCAUUUCAGAAGGAAUUUUUGUACUUUUCAAUCCACUAUAUUUAACUGAAGGCUGUUGAUAGUGUACUGUGUCCCCUUUGCAAAUUCUGAUUUUACAUUAAACAUGACAGAAAAUAUCA